GAUUAUGAUAGAGAGCUGUGUUUCACAGUCAAUAGGACCACUGGACAACAAAGUGCUGAUUCAUGCUCGUGAAGAUGAGACAGUUACUCUCUCCUGCAAGUAUGAAUAUAGUACUACUCCUAAUAGUCUGCAGUGGUAUCGUCAGUAUACUGGAUCCAGACCAGAGUACUUACUGCUGAAAUAUCCAGGAUCAGCUGAUGUGACCCGUGCAGAUCCUACUUUCUUACGCCUGGAUGCUACAGACAAUAACAACAAAUGGAAUCUCUCAAUCUCCUCUGCUGCAGUAUCAGACUCUGCACUCUACUACUGUGCCAUGCAGCCCACAGUGACAGGAAACCCAGCUACACUGUACAAAAACUCAUUGCAGGAUGCCUUGUGUGUUGGGAAUGUACCAGAAGAGGGCAGCUUUAGUCUAGAUUUGCUGGAGUGAAGUGAGUUAUUCAUUAAAAGAUGCUGAAAUGAGGGACCAAGUAAAACAGCCAUGAGAGGAAAUCUCAUGUUCAGUUCAGUUGUGGGUCUUCUUAGAUCAUCUGUAGCUUCUGGAUUUGAAUUUGUGGCUCUCCUUUAAAAUGAGUGGCACUUUAUAUUUCAUAUGAAACUUAUGCAAAGUGACUCCAGCCUCUCUCUCACGCUCCAGUCAGCGCUCCAGUUCCCCAGAGUACUGAUCAAUAACACCUGUUCUUCUUUGGUUAGCUUAGUUUAAAGCCUGGGCUUGUAGAUGGUCUCACUGUGAGGUAUUGCUUCCUUUCAGAGAGCUGCUGAACAUUAUUUCUGACUGUUUAUUCCUGUUCUGAGCCAUUUUGCCUUGUUUUUUGACUCACAUUUUGCCUGAUCCCUUUUGGACUUUUCGCCUGGUUAUGUUUGUGUUUUGGUGUAUAUUGUCUUUUCUAGAUUUGACCAUUGCAUGUGACCUGACUAUGAUUGUGGAUUCUGUUUGCACUAGUAAAGCCUCUC